rnacentral:rRNA from 1 species
GACGAACGCUGGCGGCGUGCCUAAUACAUGCAAGUAGAACGCUGAAGGAGGAGCUUGCUUCUCUGGAUGAGUUGCGAACGGGUGAGUAACGCGUAGGUAACCUGCCUGGUAGCGGGGGAUAACUAUUGGAAACGAUAGCUAAUACCGCAUAAGAGUAGAUGUUGCAUGACAUUUGCUUAAAAGGUGCAAUUGCAUCACUACCAGAUGGACCUGCGUUGUAUUAGCUAGUUGGUGGGGUAACGGCUCACCAAGGCGACGAUACAUAGCCGACCUGAGAGGGUGAUCGGCCACACUGGGACUGAGACACGGCCCAGACUCCUACGGGAGGCAGCAGUAGGGAAUCUUCGGAAAUGGACGGAAGUCUGACCGAGCAACGCCGCGUGAGUGAAGAAGGUUUUCGGAUCGUAAAGCUCUGUUGUAAGAGAAGAACGAGUGUGAGAGUGGAAAGUUCACACUGUGACGGUAUCUUAACAGAAAGGGACGGCUAACUACGUG